CAGAGACACAUGAAUUCUCUGGGGGGAAAACGGUGUAAUAUCAAGGUUCAGAUGAAAUAUGGUUCUGUGACAAAACGCUGCAGAGAAGACAAACAGUAGCAAAUAAACACUGUGGCCUCCUGACUGCUCUGCGUCUGACAGCGAGAAAUCUGCGGGAUGUGGCUUCCUCUCUGAGAACAGAACACACAGGCCCAAGCCUGAAAGAGCAACAGACAAUCCGAAUGUCCAAGAUGGUUAAUGAAGCAUUGAGGUCAGCCUGGCUGUUGACAGAAUUUAGAGGAGAUCCAGAGGCUCAGGGUGGAUCUGUAUAAUCAGAAGCCCCUCUCCCCGGCCUUUCCCUUGCCUGUUAACAGCCACCAAACUGGAGGUCAGUCCUGCAGGCAGCCUUCUGCUGGCACUGCGGACACCAAGGCACAGCGCAGAACUACAUUUCAAGCAAAGACAGACGUGGCUACU